rnacentral:rRNA from 1 species
AGUGAACGCUGGCGGCGUGCUUAACACAUGCAAGUCGAGCGAAUUUCUGCAGCGUAUCGCAGAAGUUAGCGGCAGACGGGUGAGUAAUACUUGGGCAAUCUGCCCUCGAGAGGGAAACAACCUGCCGAAAGGUGGGCUAAUAUCCCGUAAGACCACAGGAUGGCAUCAUCCAGGGGUCAAAGCUCCGCAAGGGGCGCUUGAGGAGGAGCCUAAGGUCUAUCAUGGUAGUUGGCGGGGUAACGGCCCACCAAGCCUUUGACGGAUAGCCGG